GAUGAACGCUAGCGGCAGGCCUCAUACAUGCAAGUCGAGGGGCAGCAUGACACUUCGGUGUUGAUGGCGACCGGCGCACGGGUGCGUAACGCGUAUGCAAUCUACCUUGUACAGGGGAAUAGCUUCUGGAAACGGGAAUUAAUACCCCAUAUUAUCUAUUUGUCGCAUGGUGAAUAGAUGAAAGCUCCGGCGGUACAAGAUGAGCAUGCGUCCCAUUAGCUUGUUGGUAAGGUAACGGCUUACCAAGGCUACGAUGGGUAGGGGGUCUGAGAGGAUGAUCCCCCACACUGGCACUGAGAUACGGGCCAGACUCCUACGGGAGGCAGCAGUAGGGAAUAUUGGGCAAUGGGCGCAAGCCUGACCCAGCCAUGCCGCGUGCAGGAUUGAAGGUCCUUAGGAUUGUAAACUGCUUUUUUAUGGGAGCAAUAACUUCUUGCGAGAAGGUAUGAGAGUACCAUAAGAAUAAGCACCGGCUAACUCCGUGCCAGCCGCCGCCGUAACAC
rnacentral:rRNA from 1 species